UACGAAGGGUGCAAGCGUUAAUCGGAAUUACUGGGCGUAAAGGGUGCGUAGGCGGUUCGUUAAGUCUGUCGUGAAAUCCCCGGGCUCAACCUGGGAAUGGCGAUGGAUACUGGCGAGCUAGAGUGUGUCAGAGGAUGGUGGAAUUCCCGGUGUAGCGGUGAAAUGCGUAGAGAUCGGGAGGAAUACCCGUGGCGAAGGCGGCCAGCUGGGCUACACCUGACACUGAGGUGCGAAAGCGUGGGGAGCAAACAGG
rnacentral:rRNA from 1 species